AUUGAACGCUGGCGGCAUGCCUUACACAUGCAAGUCGAACGGGUGUAGCAAUACAUCAGUGGCAGACGGGUGAGUAACACGUGGGAACCUUCCUCGUUGUACGGGACAACUCAGGGAAACUUGAGCUAAUACCGUAUACGUCCGAGAGGAGAAAGAUUUAUCGCAAUGAGACGGGCCCGCGUCGGAUUAGCUAGUUGGUAGGGUAACGGCCUACCAAGGCGACGAUCCGUAGCUGAUCUGAGAGGAUGAUCAGCCACACUGGGACUGAGACACGGCCCAGACUCCUACGGGAGGCAGCAGUGGGGAAUCUUGGACAAUGGGCGCAAGCCUGAUCCAGCCAUGCCGCGUGAGUGAAGAAGGCCUUAGGGUUGUAAAGCUCUUUUGCCAGGGACGAUAAUGACGGUACCUGGAGAAUAAGCCCCGGCAAACUUCGUGCCAGCCGCCGCUGUAACAC
rnacentral:rRNA from 1 species